UCUUCUCCUUCCUAUUGACCGCCAACCAGUGAGUGCUGUUUCGUUCCUUCACUGUUAACUCUAUGUGGAAUCUCACUUCUCCAUGGACACGGCCUAAACCCUAAUAUUUUCCAAUUGAAUCAGUUUUUCCAUCUUCAUUUUCUUCUCUAUUUUCCAAAAUUGCCACUAUCCCAUUCGGAGAUGCCGUUGAGAUCCAGCCAUGGACGGGGAGGCUAACCUUCCGGUCUCGGCUGCUCCUCCCCCCAGGAAUCUCGCCCUUCCGAUCAUCAACGCUGACACGACGUCGUCCUCGUCAGCGUCUUUCUCUUCCUCUACCCCGCCGGACUUUCUCAAGCAUGUUCAAGCUGCCUUCAAGCGCCAUCGCCCACUCUGUACCUCAUUCUCUUUCUUUUUCUCUACGUAUAUACAUGUAUGCUAUGUAUAGCUGUGUAUGAAAUGGUUUUUGGUGCCGUGUUUUCUUUCCAUAGGUUCGUCGUUCCUUACAAUUGUGAAAAAUUAGGGUUUUAUUUUUUGUAACUGGUGUGCAUUGUUAAAUGAUAAAGGUGAAACUGAAUGUUCUUGUAGGCAUUUGCAGUAAUAAAUAUUGGUAAAUGUGUUCAGUUAGUGCAUUUUUAGGGGAUAUCUGUAGAAUUGUCAAAUCAGAUUUGGGCUUCUUUGUUCCGCAAAAAUGCUAUAGUGUUCGGUACCUUCAGUUAAUCAGAAUUAAUUUGAUUAGCUAAAUUAUGUACCAUAAAAACUUCUGUAUGUUUGAUUUAGUUGUUGUUUUCCAUUUGGGAAUGUGGACGACCAUAUGCAUUAGUGAUUCUGUGAAAAUAAAAUUUAAUGGUUCGAGGAAGUUUCUUUAUCUAACAAAGGGAACAUUUCAUAUAUCACUUGCCAUUUAAUUACAAGGCUUGUCAAGUUCCUGAAUGCUUGGUAUGUUUAUUUUAGGUACAAAGACCAUGCCGACCUAUAGUAUAAAGCCUAGGCGUACUUUGGUUCCACAAUGUGAAGCAUCUAAAACUGCAGUUUCUGAUGUAGAUCCUAAGGCAGGCAUGAAGAAGCCUGAGCAUGUUAUUCCAGUCAGUCUAACUGUAAAAGAUUCAAUUAUGCAAACCAAAAAUCCAGCUGCUGUCAUUAGGGAAACUCAAGAAGAGUCAAUUACUCCUCCUUCCAUUUCAGGCACCAUCACCAAGACCUUUGAUGAGAAUUUCAACCCGUCUGUUUUGCAGAAAGGUCAAUCCACAUCCAUUAUUGAUUGUAAAGAGAAUAAUCCAAUGUCCUCGUUACUUGUUGAUGGCAAGAGAAGGGUCCAGUUUUCAAUGGAAAAAAAUGCUAAUUCCCCAGAAAUGGAAUGGGAUGCAAGCAAUCAAAUAGAGGCAUCAAAUGUCAUCAAUGAUGAAUCAAAGCAUCAGAAUUUUCAGAACAAUGAAACUGAUAUCAGUUUGAGGACUGAUGGUGCAGCAUCAUUGUUGGCAAAAAGAACGAUACUUGCCCAGGACCAAGCACUUCAAUUUGGAAACUUUUUAGGCCAACCUGCUAAUCAAUCUUCAGUUGUUGGUCCAUCUUGUGCCACCACUACAUCUGUCCAUUCUACUUCAGCACCUAAGCUAAACUCAACAAGUUAUUACUCUUGUUCACAUCCAGAGAAUGGCACUCAUGUGGCAGUUGAACCAUUGGGAGAUUUUAAUAUGAGUUCUCAGCAUAUGAGUCAAAGAAAUAUGGAGCACCUGUCCUAUAAUUCACUAAAGGACACAAAUGGUAUGCUAAUUAACCAGACAGCCAUUGCAGCCCAAGCUUCUUCAUCUACUAUUGAUGCCCAAAUAAAUGAGCACCAUCUGCCCAGGGAGAAACAGGGCAAUCUGGCCAAGGAGACUGACAUUUCAAACAAUCCUUCUUAUGUUGGUGAUAACACAACUAAAGAGAGAGGAUCAGUGGACGAUGUUCAUGAUGUACAAGCUCAGAAUCCAUUGUCAAAAAACCCAUCCUCAGAUGUGAAGUUGGAGCCUUCCAAAUCAGAAAAGCAAGAAAAGGUUACAAGUGGUAAAGGUGUUUCAGUGCCUCGUAAAAGGAAUUAUGACCCUGACUUGUUCUUUAAAGUUAAUGGGAAGCUCUAUCAAAGGCUUGGUAAGAUAGGAAGCGGAGGAAGUAGCGAGGUCCAUAAAGUCAUCUGUUCAGACUGUACAAUCUAUGCACUCAAGAAAAUCAAACUCAAAGGUCGUGAUUAUGCAACUGCAUAUGGUUUUUGUCAGGAAAUUGAGUAUCUAAAGAAAUUGAAGAGAAAGAACAAUAUCAUACAGUUAAUAGACUAUGAGGUAACAGAUAAAAAUUUGCUCUGUGAAGUCAUGAAUGGAUCUGUGAGUAAUAAAGAUGCCAGAGUUAAGGAUGAUGGAUAUAUAUACAUGGUCCUUGAAUAUGGGGAAAUUGAUUUGGCUCACAUGCUUUCGCAGAAAUGGAAGGAACUGGAUAGCGCCAAUCAGUCCAUAGAUGAGAAUUGGCUGAGAUUUUACUGGCAGCAAAUACUUCAAGCUGUCAACACCAUACAUGAGGAACGCAUAGUGCACUCUGACUUGAAGCCAGCUAAUUUUCUUCUUGUCAAAGGUGCUCUAAAGUUGAUUGAUUUUGGAAUUGCCAAAGCCAUAAUGAGUGAUACGACUAACAUCCAAAGGGAUUCACAGGUGGGUACUCUAAGCUACAUGUCUCCUGAGGCAUUCAUGUGCAACGAGAGUGAUGCAAAUGGAAACACAAUAAAGUGUGGUCGGCCAUCAGAUAUUUGGUCUCUUGGCUGCAUACUCUACCAAAUGGUAUAUGGGAGAACCCCCUUUGCAGAGUACAAGACUUUCUGGUCUAAGUUCAAAGUUAUAACAGACCCAAAACAUGAAAUAGCUUAUGGUCCAGUUUCUAAUCCCUGGCUUCUUGAUCUUAUGAAAAAAUGUCUUGCUUGGGAUCGGAAUGAAAGAUGGAGAAUUCCUCAACUACUUCAACAUCCUUUUCUUGUUCCCCCAGUCCCUCCCCAACAAUCCUUACCUGAAGAGCAAGGCUGUAUGCUGAUUCAACUUGUUGCUGAAGCUUGUGCUAAUAAUCAGGAAGCCUCUAAGCUCUGUUUUGACCUCCAACAACUGCUUAGGAAUCCGGUCACUCCUGUAACAUAUCAGUCAUUAACAUCACGAGACCAACAAUGUAAGUUACUCUCAGAAAUAUCUAAGCUUAGCUUUCAACUGAAAGAAUGUCUGUCAAAGUUGGAGAGAGACCAUAAAUAGAUUCAGUUGUACAAAUGAGUUCAGGUGUGUCAAUGUUAGGAGCGUUUUUGCCUGAGGGGAACUAUGAAAAAUGGUAUUCAAUCCUAUUCCAUUUGUUUGUAAUACGUUACUUAUUCCUGUUGUGUAAGUUAUUGCGUAAGCAUAGGAUUGGAGUUAUCCCCUGCUCCAAAUGUACGCAUCUCCUUCUUGGACAAUGAAUUUGAACUUUCACAGCAGUUGGAAACACGUUCAGGUAAUUAUUCCUGCUGUACAUAUUGGUUUCUUUCGGAAAAUAUCAUUUGUAAGAAAAAAAAAAUAUUUCAAUUUCCA
rnacentral:misc_RNA from 1 species